ACGCUCGACACCUACGGAGGCAGCAGUGGGGAAUAUUGCACAAUGGGGGAAACCCUGAUGCAGCGACGCCGCGUGAGCGAAGAAGUAUUUCGGUAUGUAAAGCUCUAUCAGCAGGGAAGAAACUGACGGUACCUGACUAAGAAGCACCGGCUAAAUACGUGCCANAGCCGCGGUAAUCUGAGCGGGCUGGCAAGGC
rnacentral:rRNA from 1 species